rnacentral:rRNA from 1 species
GACGAACGCUGGCGGCGUGCCUAAUACAUGCAAGUAGAACGCUGAAGAGAGGAGCUUGCUCUUCUUGGAUGAGUUGCGAACGGGUGAGUAACGCGUAGGUAACCUGCCUUGUAGCGGGGGAUAACUAUUGGAAACGAUAGCUAAUACCGCAUAACAAUGGAUGACACAUGUCAUUUAUUUGAAAGGGGCAAUUGCUCCACUACGAGAUGGACCUGCGUUGUAUUAGCUAGUAGGUGAGGUAACGGCUCACCUAGGCGACGAUACAUAGCCGACCUGAGAGGGUGAUCGGCCACACUGGGACUGAGACACGGCCCAGACUCCUACGGGAGGCAGCAGUAGGGAAUCUUCGGCAAUGGGGGCAACCCUGACCGAGCAACGCCGCGUGAGUGAAGAAGGUUUUCGGAUCGUAAAGCUCUGUUGUAAGUCAAGAACGAGUGUGAGAGUGGAAAGUUCACACUGUGACGGUAGCUUACCAGAAAGGGACGGCUAACUACGUGCCAGCAGCCGCGGUAAUACGUAGGUCCCGAGCGUUGUCCGGAUUUAUUGGGCGUAAAGCGAGCGCAGGCGGUUUGAUAAGUCUGAAGUUAAAGGCUGUGGCUCAACCAUAGUUCGCUUUGGAAACUGUCAAACUUGAGUGCAGAAGGGGAGAGUGGAAUUCCAUGUGUAGCGGUGAAAUGCGUAGAUAUAUGGAGGAACACCGGUGGCGAAAGCGGCUCUCUGGUCUGUAACUGACGCUGAGGCUCGAAAGCGUGGGGAGCGAACAGGAUUAGAUACCCUGGUAGUCCACGCCGUAAACGAUGAGUGCUAGGUAUUGGAUCCUUUCCGGGAUUCAGUGCCGCAGCUAACGCAUUAAGCACUCCGCCUGGGGAGUACGACCGCAAGGUUGAAACUCAAAGGAAUUGACGGGGGCCCGCACAAGCGGUGGAGCAUGUGGUUUAAUUCGAAGCAACGCGAAGAACCUUACCAGGUCUUGACAUCCCGAUGCUAUUUCUAGAGAUAGAAAGUUACUUCGGUACAUCGGUGACAGGUGGUGCAUGGUUGUCGUCAGCUCGUGUCGUGAGAUGUUGGGUUAAGUCCUGCAACGAGCGCAACCCCUAUUGUUAGUUGCCAUCAUUCAGUUGGGCACUCUAGCGAGACUGCCGGUAAUAAACCGGAGGAAGGUGGGGAUGACGUCAAAUCAUCGUGCCCCUUAUGACCUGGGCUACACACGUGCUACAAUGGUUGGUACAACGAGUUGCGAGUCGGUGACGGCAAGCUAAUCUCUUAAAGCCAAUCUCAGUUCGGAUUGUAGGCUGCAACUCGCCUACAUGAAGUCGGAAUCGCUAGUAAUCGCGGAUCAGCACGCCGCGGUGAAUACGUUCCCGGGCCU